GACGUAGGGGGCAAGCGUUGUCCGGAAUCAUUGGGCGUAAAGCGCUCGUAGGUGGAUCGGUAAGUCUGCAAAGAAAGACCCGGGCUCAACUCGGGGAACGGUGUGGAUACUACCGAUCUUGAGGCAAUCAGAGGAUGAUGGAAUUCCCGGUGUAGCGGUGAAAUGCGUAGAGAUCGGGAAGAACACCAGUGGCGAAGGCGGCCGGCUGGGGGUGUCCUGACGCUGAGGCGCGAGAGUGUGGGGAGCAAACCGG
rnacentral:rRNA from 1 species